rnacentral:lncRNA from 1 species
GAGCAAUGAACCCACGUGGAAGCUCGUCGUCCAUCCUCACGUCUGCACCGACCAACCUCAAGCAGCUCUCAAAGAGGAGGAGCAAGGACCACAACCACUUCCAUCCUCCAGAGGUCACAGGCAAUACAAUAAAUACUACUAGUACACACAGCACCGCAGCGUCGCCCAUGUGAUGCGAGCGGUCAAACUUGGGGAACUUGGCCGAGGGAACACACCCUCUCACCCACCUCAAGAUCUUGGUAUCCGAUCCAGCCAACCUAAUAGAAAGCAUGGCUCCUCGCCCUCGUCUGUUCGUCUCUCACCCACGUCUGAGUUGGCCUGCAGCAACAUCCUAAUCCAACAAGCUCUCCCAUGGUGGAUCGUGUGACCAGCACAGUCUUAAGUUAUUGUGGUGUCAGAGCAGGAGUGCUCAAUCUCUGGAUUCACGUUCUGAUGCUAACAAUGGCUUUAUAGAUCGGCAAAGGGGCCAAACAACAUACACUUGGUGUGCAAGAAUGCUCGCGUGACAUCACACCUGCGCCAGCCACUGUUUUUGGUCUGCAUAGUUUUGAAGCUUAUGGAUCUGUACGAAUUCAGCAAGGCUUAUCAAUCGUGGAUAACAGUUGUAGUAUUAUGCCAACCUGAUACCAUUUUGUGGCUUCUUCUUGAUGCUAACAUCUGUUCUUCCUUCCUGCACACUCUCGCCUGAAGUCAAAAGGUUCUUGCACCCUGGGCCAAAGUUGGGUUAGCGAUCGUCUUGAAUCUUGACAUAAAGCAGCAAAAAGGGGGCCAGUGACGUGACCAUCCUCUUCCUCUAUCCAUUUGUUUGGAGAUCAUUGUACUCGCAGUGUUGAGCUCGCAAUGGCAACUGGAGACUGAGAAAGCUGUGUGUGUGCUGGGCUUGGGUCUGACAUCCCCCACAUGCGUCAUGUCUCUCGCGGAGCUCGGAGUGGGAAUUGUUGGAGACUUUUGAUGCAGGGUUUGGGGUCCCUCCUUCCCUCUAAUUCUUCCUCCCCCUGUGUUAGGCUCAACCAAAGCUCAUAUAGAUCAUGGUGGCGGUCACUCUCACAUUGUUGACAAGCAAUCAGAACCCACAUUAUCCUAACCUUAUUUGACCAACACUGUCCUAAAUCUUCUGGAUAACUUAGUAGAAAGCACCUGCAGCAGCAACAACACAGAGCGAAGAUUUCAGGCGAGCUCUGGUCCAUCCUUCAUUAACUUAGGAGUCCGCUGGGGCAGAACCGAAGGCUAGAAGACAUGGAUUUCCUCAUAAUGGUUGUCACCAUUUCCAUGGGUUUGGAGAAGCACAGAAAAACAUGUGUCCCUCACCCCUGCAAAUCAUCCGGAUGUGAGCUCGCAGUCCAACAUCGUGACCCACCGCCGCCGCAUGGGGACAACUCAACUCGCUCCGUCU